GGGAAUAACACCGGGAAACCGGUGCUAAUACCGCAUACGAUCACGAUUUCUUCGGAUUUUGUGAUGAUUCGGAGCAAUUCGCUCUUGGAGGAGCCCGCGGUUGAUUAGCUAGUUGGUGAGGUAAUGGCUCACCAAGGCAACGAUCAGUAGCCGGUCUGAGAGGACGGUCGGCCACACUGGAACUGAGACACGGUCCAGACUCCUACGGGAGGCAGCAGUGGGGAAUUUUUCGCAAUGGGGGCAACCCUGACGAAGCAACGCCGCGUGGAUGAUGAAGUAUCUCGGUACGUAAAGUCCUUUCGACGGGGAAGAAAACCGCAAGG
rnacentral:rRNA from 1 species